rnacentral:rRNA from 1 species
UACAGGUAGCGUUGACCCUAAUUUUGGUCGUCGGGUACGCAAUCGCCGCCAGUUAAAUAGCUUGCAAAAUACGUGGCCUUAUGGUUACAGUAUGCCCAUCGCAGUUCGCUACACGCAGGACGCUUUUUCACGUUCUGGUUGGUUGUGGCCUGUUGAUGCUAAAGGUGAGCCGCUUAAAGCUACCAGUUAUAUGGCUGUUGGUUUCUAUGUGGCUAAAUACGUUAACAAAAAGUCAGAUAUGGACCUUGCUGCUAAAGGUCUAGGAGCUAAAGAAUGGAACAACUCACUAAAAACCAAGCUGUCGCUACUUCCCAAGAAGCUGUUCAGAAUCAGAAUGAGCCGCAACUUCGGG